GGGUAGUGACUUAACGAGUUCUUUCGAAGUGCGGUGUGAAUGUUAGGCGGCUAAUAAGAGAAAAGUGCGGAGAGGAAAAGGGGUGGGGAGGAGAAACCAUCCAGACAGGCAGACAUCUCAGGGCUUCAUUGAUUGUAACUAAUGGAGGAGCUUCAAAAUGGCUUGGCCUGAAUAUGUUCUGUGAUCAGAUGCGACCAUGGGCAACUCCAAAUCAAGGAAGCUCAUUGAAGAAUCAGUGCACCCUUUCCUAUGGCUUUAAGUUCAAUCUACUUUAUAAGGAGAAGGACGUAGUGGUAGCAGAAGCUAACACCGAAGAUGAUUGGUAUUUCCAGGAUUUCCACACACCAUCUUUCAGUCUUCUACAGAAUUAGCUUGGUGCUGGAGAAGACUCCUGCGAGUCCCUUGGACUGCAAGGCGUUCAAACCGGUCAGUCCUAGAAGAGAUCAACCCCGACUGCUCCUUAGAAGGCCAGAUCCUGAAGUUGAAACUCAAGU